rnacentral:rRNA from 1 species
UACGUAGGGUGCGAGCGUUGUCCGGAAUUAUUGGGCGUAAAGAGCUCGUAGGCGGUUUGUUGCGUCGGCUGUGAAAUCCCGAGGCUCAACCUCGGGUCUGCAGUCGAUACGAGCAAACUAGAGUGUUGCAGGGGAGACUGGAAUUCCUGGUGUAGCGGUGGAAUACGUAGAGAUCGGGAAGAACAUCAGUGGCGAAGGCGGCCUGCUGGGCUGUUGCUGACGCUGAGGCGCGACAGCGUGGGGAGCAAACAGG